GUAGGGAAUUUUCGGCAAUGGGGGGAACCCUGACCGAGCAAUGCCGCGUGAAUGAAGAAGGUCUUCGGACUGUAAAGUUCUGUUAUCGGGAAAGAAGGUAUAUACCAGGAAAUGGGUAUAUAUUGACGGUACCCAAUUAGAAAGCCCCGGCUAACUACGUGCCAGCAGCCGCGGUAAUACGUAGGGGGCGAGCGUUAUCCGGAAUUAUUGGGCGUAAAGCGUGCGUAGGCGGAAUGUUAAGUCAUUUGUAAAAGAUCUCAGCCUAACUGAGUAAGGCGAAUGAAACUGGCAAUCUUGAAUACGGUAGAGGUAAGUGGAAUUCCAUGUGUAGCGGUGGAAUGCGUAGAUAUAUGGAGGAACACCAAUGGCGAAGGCAGCUUACUGGGCCGGAAUUGACGCUGAGGCACGAAAGCGUGGGGAGCAAACAGGAUUAGAAACCCUAGUAGUCC
rnacentral:rRNA from 1 species